UACGUAGGGUGCAAGCGUUAAUCGGAAUUACUGGGCGUAAAGCGCAUGUAGGCGGGUCGGCAAGUCAGAUGUGAAAUCCCCGGGCUCAACCUGGGAACUGCAUCUGAAACUGCUGGUCUUGAGUACUGGAGAGGGUGGCGGAAUUCCUGGUGUAGAGGUGAAAUUCGUAGAUAUCAGGAGGAACACCGGUGGCGAAGGCGGCCACCUGGACAGUAACUGACGCUGAGAUGCGAAAGCGUGGGGAGCAAACAGG
rnacentral:rRNA from 1 species